GCCCUCGUGGAUCAACGGUAGAUUUCCUCCUUACAUUAGUGACAGUUAUCGCAAGUGUGUUAUGGAGGUGAUGUGGGUUCAACUCCCACUGUGGGCU